AAAGCAUGGUGAGGGCAUUUCCUAAGCAUUUUCUUAAAUCUCUCCCAAUUAUCAUAAAUGGAUCUCCUUCAAACUUGCUAAAAGAAGUAAGGUCAUUUUUAAAUUU